rnacentral:misc_RNA from 1 species
AAAUGCGAUAAGUAGUGUGAAUUGCAGAAUUCAGUGAAUCAUCGAAUCUUUGAACGCACAUUGCGCCCUUUGGUAUUCCUUAGGGCAUGCCUGUUCGAGCGUCAUUUAAACCUUCAAGCUCAGCUUGGUGAUGGGUGACUGUCCCCUCCUCGCGGGGGGACUCGCCUCAAAAACAUUGGCGGCCGGUACAUUGGCUUCGAGCGCAGCAGAAACGCGGUCUCGAGCCCGGUGGAUCGGCUCCCACAAGCCUAUUCUUUUAUUUUGACCUCGGAUCAGGUAGGGAUACCCGCUGAACUUAAGC